rnacentral:lncRNA from 1 species
GUGACCACACCCCUGCAGGUCAGACCUUUCAGGGGCCUCCUGAGCCCAUGCAUCAGGGAAAGGAGCCAGUUCUCCCCUGUGUUGCUGUGCUACUCUUCUAAAUCUAAACCAGGACUUCAGGUCAUUGGGCAGGUUUCUUUGCGAAGGACCACAGGCUCAGGUACAUUCAACACUGCCAGGUUGGAUACAAGGAUAACAGGAUGUUUUGUGUGCCACAGGAGCCCCUCUGACAUUAAGUUACACAGAAGCCAACACUGAAGCAGGGAUUUGAGGACAAGUAUAUUGGGAAUGAGAGACUGAGAAUGGGAAAAAGCCAGUAAAGGAUGUGGUAUUAAACAAGUUACUCUAUGAGCAACUGAAACUCGGUCCUGCUGGGAACGUUGGGAGAAUGCAUAAAACAUACACCUCAGAGAGCGAUGGAGCAGGGUGCAUACCCACCAUCUCCUGUCAGCCUUUGGCUGGGGGACACCUGGGAACAUUAAUCCCCUAAAGUCUCUGGUCUACCCCAUGCACAGACAGAGCCGGUCAGGUGGCUGAAGAAAGUCUCUCAGCUGCUGGGAGUUAAGCUAGUGAACAAGGCAGUGAUAAGCUGAGAAGGUCCAAGCGAGUACCAACACAUCAGCUCUAGUGACUGAUGACUCCCAUGUUGACAAAUCCAACAAGUGCUUGUUACUUUAUCCUUGUCUCCCUCAACCUCCUAGCUGAGCUCACUCUAGCCAGCUCAGAGCAUCUGCAAGCCUCUGGCUUUCAACCAUGGGAGGUGUUGCCCCCACCCCAGGAGACAUUUGGCAAUGUCUGGAGACAUUUUUGGUUGCCAAAGUGGGGAGAGAGUACUACUGGCAUUGGUGAUUAGAUGCUAGGGAUGCUGCUAAACACCCUCCAUCUCCCUCAAAAGAAUUAUCCAGCCCAAAAUGUCAACAGUGCCUAAGUUGAAAACUCUGGCUCCCGUCUCUCUACUGAUCUCUCUACUCCAGUCUCAUCCUGUGCAAUGCUCCCUCCUAUGUCAGUCAGAGCCCAGCUGGGAUGAGGGUGAAGCACACAGGACAUGGAGGGCACAAAAAAUAUGAGAAGCUAUUAGGCUAUUUUGCAAUUAAACAAUGCCUGCAGGAUGCUGUAUGUUGCUUGAUUUUCGUAAGUCAUGCAGUAGUGGUUAUGAAAAUGUAAAAGUAAACAGAACUAUUUUUGAAUAAUAUAAUUUUCUAUAACAAUCUGGAAGGCUUUACUGUGGUAAUGCCUAAUCUGUUUCACUGCCGUUCUAGGUACUGUUGUUCUUUGGAAACCUCCAUUUAAGAAGCACUAUCAUAACUUUAGAACCUCACGACAUUGAAGUGGAAGGGGUCUGUCAUGGACUAAAUUGUGUCCCCCAAAAUUCAUAUGUUGAAGCCCUAACCCCCAGUCUCACUGUAUUUGGAGACUGGGCCCAUAAGCAGCUAAUUAAAGUUAAAUGAGGUCCGAAAGGUGGGACCCUAAUCUGAUGGGACUGGUACUCUUAUAAAAGGAGGAAGAUAUACAGGAUCUCUCUCUCUCUCUCUCUUUCUCUCUCUCCCUCCCUCCCUCCUCACCAUGUGAUGACACAGUGAAAAAGUGGCCCAUCUGAAAGCCAGGAAACAAGCCCUCACCCUCACCAGGAACCAACCAUGCUGGGACAUGUAGCCUUAAGAACUGUGAGAAAAGAAAAUUACAUGUUUAAGCCACCUGUCUAUAAUAUUUUAUCAUGGCAGCCCAAGCAGACUAAGGCAGAGUCUCAUGGGUCCUGCAGCCAAACUCUCACAGUUUGCCCAUGAAGCAACUGCUCCAGGACACUACUUGACUUUCUCAGGGCUGCAUGGUGACUGCUUGGUAAAUACAUGGUUCAUAGUUACUUCCCACUGCUACACACCUGAUUCUACCAUCCCCAUCCCAAGUUGAGUGCUGGUAUAGAGAAAGGCCACACAACCCACUGACAAGGACAGUCCAAACCAUCACAGUGGGGCAGCAGAGAGGGGUGUAGGGUGGCCUCUAGAGCUUCUCUAAGACCUUGUCAGGAUGAUGUCUAAGCCAUAAUUGUCUUUCUUGCAAAUCUAACACUGGGUUCUGCAGAUCAAGGAUCAAGAAAGAAUGUGAACGGGCAGAGGUAGUCGGGAGCCUUGGGUAUGGUGUGUCCUGCACUGCUCCAUGCUCUUGGUUGUCUGUGAUGUGAGACGCAUGGGGGCAGAGCCAGGAGGGCAGUAUGAGACGACCCAGAGGGACACUGGAGCUUCCUGAAGCACAGACAGGAUACUCCCUGGCCCAGGCGGCAGCACUGCAUCACACCCCCAUGGGUAGGUGCCGGUGGCCUCUACUGGUACCUACCCCACGUCUGUCCAGCAGCCACUGAGAUGAUGACUCUGCGCUGCUUUGCACCUGAGCUGACUCCCUUCUGUCAGCUUUCACGUGGAGGUGUAAAGAAAAAUCACAUUUUGCCUAUCCUAAUGCCUAGACCUUAAAAAUCCCUUGGCAAAUCAUAGAAAUUCCAAUUGUUUGCUUUCAACACAAUUGAAAGAAAGCACAAGGGUAUUAUCAGCUUAUAGAUCAUUAGAAAUUCUGUGGGAUUUUUGACACAGAAGUUUAAAAGAGUUGAAAUAAUUAAAUAACAUUACUUGAAAAACACUUCUCAGUUCCAACUAGUUAAUUAUGUGAACAGUUUCUCAGGGCUUACUUCCAUAAUGAAGAAAAAUAAACAUUUAAAACAUAGGUAAUAUUUAACCAUUGAUAGAUGAACAGAUAGGAAAAAAACAGCUCAAACCUGUGUAUCUCAUUAAGAAAUACAUAUUCGUCCAGGCACGGUGGCUCACGCCUGUAAUCCCAACACUUUCGGAGGCCGAAGCAGGUGAAUCAUGAGGUAAGGAGUUUGAAACCAGCCUGGCCAAUAUGGUGAAACCCCAUCUCUACUAAAAAAUACAAAAAUUAGCUGGGCUUGGUGGUGCAUGCCUGUAAUCCCAGCUACUUGGGAGGCUGAGGCAGGAGAAUCGCUUGAACCUGGGAAGCAGAGGUUGCAGUGAGCCAAGAUCACACCACUGCAUUCCAGCCUGGGCAAGAGAGACUCCAUCUCAAAAAAAAAAAAAAGGAAGAAAUACAUUUUCACUAAUAUUUUAAUGUUUUGGGCUUAAUAAAUAUUUAACAAAAGGAAUACAUUUAUGAAUGAAUGUUGAAAAAAAUUGAAAAAAUUCAAUACCUAUUCAUGAUUUUUUAAAAAAUUCUCAGAAAAACAGGCAUUGAGGGAAAACCUCUCAACUUGAGAGAGAAUCUAAAAAGUUUACAGCUAACAUAGUUAACAGUGGAAGACUGGAAGCUUUUCCUCUCAAAUGUGGAACAAGGUAUACAUGUCAGCUCUCUCUACUCUUAGUCAUAACAACACUGGACAUCCUAGCUCUAAGGCAACAAAAUAGAAUUAGAAAGCACACCAAUCAGAAAGGAAGAAAUAAAACUGUCUCUAUUUGCAAGUGACAUGAUCAUCUACACAGAAAACACCAAAGAAGCUACACAAAACUUCUACACUAAUGAGUUCAGCAAAGCCACAGGAUGUAAGAUAAACAUUCAAAAAUCCAUUGCUUUUAUAUACUAACAAAGAACACAUAGAAACUAAAAUUAAUUAUGUAAUGCCAUUUACAAUCACGCAAAAAUAAAAGAAACACUUAGAUGUAAUAAAACAUGUCUAGUACUAAUAUGCUAAAAACUACAAAAUGCUGAUGAAAGAAAUAAAAGAUCUAAAUAAAUGGAGGGAUAUACUGCAUUCAUGGAUUGGAGGACUCUACAUAGUAAAGAUAUCACUUCCCCCCAAAUUCAUGUACAGUUGUAAUGCAUUUCCUAUCAAAAUCCCAGAAAAUAUUUUUUAUUAAACAGACAAGAUUAUUUUAAAAUUUAUGUGGAACAGCACAGGCCCUAGAAUAGCAAAAACUAUUCUGGAAAGAAUUAAGUGGGAGGACUCACUCUAUCUGAUAUUAAUUCCUACUAUAUACUAUGGUAAUCAAGAACAUGUGGUAUGGGCAGAGGGAUAGACAGAUCAGUGGAGCAGAAAAGGGAAUUUAUAAAUAGACUCACACAAAUAUGCGCAACUGAUUUUUGACAAAGUUGCAAAAACAAUUCAGUGGAGAGGAAUAGCCCUUCCAACAAAUGAUGCAAGAGCAAUUGAAUAGCCAUCAGCAAGAAAAAGACCUCAACUUUAAUCUUAUACAAAAAUUAACUCAAAAUAUAGCAUAGACUUAAACAUACAGCUUUCAUAGAAAAACAGGAGAAAAUUUUAGUAAUCUAGCACUAGGCAAAGUGUUGUUAAACCUGACACUAAUAGCACUAUCCAUUAAAAGAGAAAGUGCUAAAUUAGACUUAAUCGAAAUUUAAAACUUUUGCUCUGCAAAACAGCCUCAGAGAAUUAAGUGUCAAGCUACAGGCUGCAAGAAAACAUACGGAAACCACAUUUCUGACAAAGAAUUGGUAUCUAGUAUAUCUAAAGAACUCUCAAAACGCAAAAGUAAAAGCCAAAUAAUCAAUUUGAAAGUGUGUAAAAAAUAUGAACAGACAUUUUACCAGAGAGGACAUAAAUAUGUCAAACAUGAAAGGAUGCCCAAUAUCUUUAGCUAUUAGAAAAUCCAAAUUAAAAUCACUAUAUGAUAUCAUUACACAUUAUUACAACAGCCAAAAUACACAUUAGUAAUAACACGAAAUUCUGGUGAGGUUAUGGAGAAACUAGAUCUCUUACACAUUGCUGAUAGGAAUGUAAAGUAGUACAGUCACUCUGGAAAAGGGCCUGGAAAUUUCUUGCAAACCUAAACAUGCAACUAUUACGUUUUGUGUGCUGUUACAGCCCAACAGUUGCACUCCUGGGCAAUCUCAGAGCAAUGAAAGUUUGUGUGCACACAAAAACCUCUACAUAAAUGUUCACAGCAACUGUAUUUUUAAGCCAAAAACUGGAAACAAUUGGGGUGCCCUUAAGUGGGUGAGUCGUUAAAUACACAGUUAUAUUCAUGACAGGGAAUACCAGCUAGCAGUAACAAGGAAUGAACUGCUGAGACUCACAACUUGAAUGAAUCUCCAGAGAAUUAUGCAGAGUGAUAAAAGCCAAUUUCAGAAGGUUGCAUAUUGUAUGAUUCCAUUUAUAUAACACUCUUAAAAUGACAAAAUCAUCAAAUGGAGAACAAAUUAAUAGUUUAUCAAAAUGGAGAACAAAUUAGUAGUUUAUCAAAACAGAGAACAAAUUAGUUGUUGCCAAGAGUUAAAGGAGUGAAAGAGCAAGUUGGUUGUGAAAAUAUUAAUAAAAGGGGAACCUGAGAGGUACUCGUGUUGAUUAAAAUGUUCUGUAUCUUGUCCAUAUCAAUGUCAAUAUCCUGGCUGUGCUACUGUACUUAAUUUUGUAAAAUGUUACUUUUGGGGGAAACUGUUAAAGGGGCACAAAGGAACUCUUUGUAUUAAUACAAUGGUACGUGAACAUCAAAUUACCUC